rnacentral:lncRNA from 1 species
GGGGGUUAAAACUAUUUAUAUUCAUUUAUGUAUACAUACUAUUGAAAAAAAAUAUCCGGAUAAAGCUUUAAAAUCAUAAAAUAAUUUGCUACUUCAUCUAAACAAAAUGUCUCAUCCGGUUAUAAAUGAUCCAUUGUAACUUAAAGUGUAUGGUUAUUAUGCAGGUUUACUUGAAAUAAAAUUUUAGAACAAAAGCUAUAUAACAGUAAACGGGGAGAUAACUCCCAAAUGGAAACAUAUCCUGUUGAAAUUGGUGAGUUUAUAAAUCGCAACAAUGUCAUUUGCCUAAUAACUUGAUGGCAUGUUGAAAAAUGUCAGAAGCAAAAGUGGAGGGGAAAAAAAUAAUCAGAACAAAAUCAAGAGGUCUUUUCAAGGAAAUACCUCAAUGUGUAUGUACAAAAUUAAUCACAACAACAGCCGACACACGACAUUGUUUGCAUACUGACAUCGAAAGUGAAAAUACUUAUUGGCUUAUUUCAAAGCAAAAAUUCGAAUACUAAUCUAUAAGGGUUCCGCGGAACCCAGUGUCUCGCCUUCUUUUGCUGUUAAUCGC